GUGUCAGCAGCCGCGGUAAGACGAAGGGGGCUAGCGUUGUUCGGAAUUACUGGGCGUAAAGCGUGUGUAGGUGGUUGUCAUAGUCAGGUGUGAAAGCCUUGAGCUCAACUCAAGAAAUGCACUUGAUACUGGGCAGCUAGAGGACCGGAGAGGAUAGUGGAAUUCCCAGUGUAGUGGUGAAAUACGUAGAGAUUGGGAAGAACACCAGUGGCGAAGGCGGCUAUCUGGACGGUUUCUGACACUAAGACACGAAAGCGUGGGGAGCAAACAGGAUUAGAAACCCCCGUAGUCC
rnacentral:rRNA from 1 species